CUUCUUGUAGUUGAAAUACAACGAUGGUUUUUCAAGUCAUUAGUCUCGGUUAGAGUCCGGAUGA
rnacentral:tRNA from 1 species